rnacentral:rRNA from 1 species
UACAGAGGGUGCAAGCGUUGUUCGGAAUUAUUGGGCGUAAAGCGCGUGUAGGCGGCUUGGUAAGUCGGGUGUGAAAGCCCUCGGCUCAACCGAGGAAGUGCGCUCAAAACUACUUGGCUUGAGUACCGGAGAGGAUGGUGGAAUUCCCGGUGUAGAGGUGAAAUUCGUAGAUAUCGGGAGGAACACCAGCGGCGAAGGCGGCCAUCUGGACGGAUACUGACGCUGAGACGCGAAAGCGUGGGUAGCAAACAGG